rnacentral:tRNA from 19 species
UGGAGCGGAAGACGGGAUUCGAACCCGCGACCCCAACCUUGGCAAGGUUGUAUUCUACCACUGAACUACUUCCGC